rnacentral:rRNA from 1 species
UGGGGAAUAUUGCACAAUGGGCGCAAGCCUGAUGCAGCCAUGCCGCGUGUAUGAAGAAGGCCUUCGGGUUGUAAAGUACUUUCAGCGAGGAGGAAGGCGUUGUGGUUAAUAACCGCAGCGAUUGACGUUACUCGCAGAAGAAGCACCGGCUAACUCCGUGCCAGCAGCCGCGGUAAUACGGAGGGUGCAAGCGUUAAUCGGAAUUACUGGGCGUAAAGCGCACGCAGGCGGUCUGUCAAGUCGGAUGUGAAAUCCCCGGGCUCAACCUGGGAACUGCAUCCGAAACUGGCAGGCUAGAGUCUUGUAGAGGGGGGUAGAAUUCCAGGCGUAGCGGUGAAAUGCGUAGAGAUCUGGAGGAAUACCGGUGGCGAAGGCGGCCCCCUGGACAAAGACUGACGCUCAGGUGCGAAAGCGUGGGGAGCAAACA